UACGUAGGUGGCAAGCGUUGUCCGGAAUUAUUGGGCGUAAAGGGCUCGCAGGCGGUUCCUUAAGUCUGAUGUGAAAGCCCACGGCUCAACCGUGGAGGGUCAUUGGAAACUGGGGAACUUGAGUACAGAAGAGGAGAGUGGAAUUCCACGUGUAGCGGUGAAAUGCGUAGAGAUGUGGAGGAACACCAGUGGCGAAGGCGACUCUCUGGUCUGUAACUGACGCUGAGGAGCGAAAGCGUGGGGAGCGAACAGG
rnacentral:rRNA from 1 species